AACAGAUUUUGCAGAAGUAAAAGAUACUGGGAAGGAGAAGGAAAAGAGCACUAGUGUAAGCUUACCACAGGGCAGAGUAUGCAAACAUCCAUCUUCUUGAUGGAGAUUCAGAAUUGCAGCUCAGACAUACUAGAGUGUACUGAAGUGCCUCUCUUUUGAGCACAUGCCUACGGUGUUUCCCUAUGAGGUCAGACAUUAGCUGCAGGCAAAUGUGGAUAACACAGAUUAAGACACCAUCUCCAGCUCCAUCAAAGUCCCUUUGCAGAUCCCCAAAACGUGCUUGAAGAAGGGAGCAGAUAAGAUUCUCCAGCUCCACAUUAAGCAGUGAACAAUGACAACACCACAGUGGAUGAGCAGAGGCUCAUCUUAUCCCCUAAGGAAAUUUGCAAACGUGACAAAAAGCACAGAGAAACAGCUUGACUCGCUCAGGAACUUUCCGACAAACUCCUUACCGUGA